rnacentral:rRNA from 1 species
GAUCGUAAACUCUGUUGUUAGAGAAGACAAGGACGUUAGUAACUGAACGUGCCCUGACGGUAUCUAACCAGAAAGCCACGGCUAUAUACGUGCCAGCAGCCGCGGUAAU